AACGAACGCUGGCGGCAUGCCUAACACAUGCAAGUCGAACGAGACCUUCGGGUCUAGUGGCGCACGGGUGCGUAACGCGUGGGAACCUGCCCUUAGGUUCGGAAUAACUCCCCGAAAGGGGUGCUAAUACCGGAUAAUGUCUUCGGACCAAAGAUUUAUCGCCUUUGGAUGGGCCCGCGUUGGAUUAGCUAGUUGGUAGGGUAAAAGCCUACCAAGGCGACGAUCCAUAGCUGGUCUGAGAGGAUGAUCAGCCACACUGGAGCUGAGACACGGCCCAGACUCCUACGGGAGGCAGCAGUGGGGAAUAUUGGACGAUGGGCGAAAGCCUGAUCCAGCAAUGCCGCGUGAGUGAUGAAGGCCUUAGGGUUGUAAAGCUCUUUUACCCGGGAUGAUAAUGACAGUACCGGGAGAAUAAGCUCCGGCUAACUCCGUG
rnacentral:rRNA from 1 species